UACAGAGGGUGCAAGCGUUAAUCGGAAUUACUGGGCGUAAAGCGUGUGUAGGUGGUUGGAUAAGUUAGAUGUGAAAUCCCCGGGCUUAACCUGGGCAUUGCGUUUAAGACUGUUUAACUAGAGUACUGUAGAGGAUAGUGGAAUUUCCAGUGUAGCGGUGAAAUGCGUAGAUAUUGGAAGGAACACCAGUGGCGAAGGCGACUAUCUGGAUAGAUACUGACACUGAGACACGAAAGCAUGGGGAGCAAACAGG
rnacentral:rRNA from 1 species